GACGAACGCUGGCGGCGUGCCUAACACAUGCCAGUCGAACGGAAAGGCCCUGCUUUUGUGGGGUGCUCGAGUGGCGAACGGGUGAGUAACACGUGAGUAACCUGCCCCUGACUUUGGGAUAACUUCAGGAAACUGGGGCUAAUACCGCAUAGGAUCUCCUGCUGCAUGGUGGGGGUUGGAAAGUUUCGGCGGUUGGGGAUGGACUCGCGGCUUAUCAGCUUGUUGGUGGGGUAGUGGCUUACCAAGGCUUUGACGGGUAGCCGGCCUGGGAGGGGGACCGGCCACAUUGGGACUGAGAUACGGCCCAGACUCCUACGGGAGGCAGCAGUGGGGAAUAUUGCAGAAUGGGCGGGAGCCUGAUGCGGCAACGCCGCGUGCGGGAUGACGGCCUUCGGGUUGUAAACCGCUUUCGCCUGUGACGAAGCGUGAGUGACGGUAAUGGGUAAAGAAGCACCGGCUAACUACGUG
rnacentral:rRNA from 1 species